rnacentral:rRNA from 1 species
GAUGUCGAUUUGGAGGUUGUGCCCUUGAGGCGUGGCUGCCGGAGCUAACGCGUUAAAUCAACCGCCUGGGGAGUACGGCCGCAAGGUUAAAACUCAAAUGAAUUGACGGGGGCCCGCACAAGCGGUGGAGCAUGUGGUUUAAUUCGAUGCAACGCGAAGAACCUUACCUACGCUUGACAUCCAGAGAACUUUCCAGAGAUGGAUUGGUGCCUUCGGGAACUCUGAGACAGGUGCUGCAUGGCUGUCUUCCGCUCGUGUUGUGAAAUGUUGGGUUAAGUCCCGCAACGAGCGCAACCCUUAUCCUUUGUUGCCUGCGGUUAGGCCGGGAACUCAUAGGAGACUGCCGGUGAUAAACUGGAGGAAGGUGGGGAUGACGUCAAGUCAUCAUGGCCCUUACUAGUAGGGCUACACACGUGCUACAAUGGUGCAUACAAAGAGAAGCGACCUCCCGAGAGCAAGCGGACCUCAUAAAGUGCGUCGUAGUCCGGAUUGGAGUCUGCAACUCGACUCCAUGAAGUCGGAAUCGCUAGUAAUCGUAGAUCAAAAUGCUACGGUGAAUACGUUCCCGGGCCUUGUACACACCGCCCGUCACACCAUGGGAGUGGGUUGCACAAGAAGUAGGUAGCUUAACCUUCGGGAGGGAGCUUACCACUUUGUGAUUCAUGACUGGGGUGAA